UACAGAGGUCUCAAGCGUUGUUCGGAUUCAUUGGGCGUAAAGGGUGCGUAGGCGGCGUGGUAAGUCGGGUGUGAAAUCUCGGAGCUUAACUCCGAAACUGCAUUCGAUACUGCCGUGCUUGAGGACUGGAGAGGAGACUGGAAUUUACGGUGUAGCGGUGAAAUGCGUAGAGAUCGUAAGGAAGACCAGUGGCGAAGGCGGGUCUCUGGACAGUUCCUGACGCUGAGGCGCGAAGGCCAGGGGAGCAAACGGG
rnacentral:rRNA from 1 species